UACAUGGGGUGCAAACGUUGCUCGGAAUCAUUGGGCGUAAAGCGCGCGUAGGCGGUUACUUAAGUCGGAUGUGAAAGCCCUUGGCUCAACUGAGGAAGUGCAUCCGAAACUGGCAGGCUAGAGUACGAAAGAGGAUCGCGGAAUUCCCGGUGUAGAGGUGAAAUUCGUAGAUAUCGGGAGGAACACCGGUGGCGAAGGCGGGCGAAUCUGGGUCGAUACUGACGCUGAGGUGCGAAAGCGUGGGGAGCAACAGG
rnacentral:rRNA from 1 species